rnacentral:rRNA from 1 species
UGUUUCGGCUAGGGGGUCAUCCCGACUUACCAACCCGAUGCAAACUACGAAUACCGAAGAAUGUUAUCACGGGAGACACACGGCGGGUGCUAACGUCCGUCGUGAAGAGGGAAACAACCCAGACCGCCAGCUAAGGUCCCAAAGUCAUGGUUAAGUGGGAAACGAUGUGGGAAGGCACAGACAGCCAGGAUGUUGGCUUAGAAGCAGCCAUCAUUUAAAGAAAGCGUAAUAGCUCACUGGUCGAGUCGGCCUGCGCGGAAGAUGUAACGGGGCUAAACCAUGCACCGAAGCUGCGGCAGCGACACUAUGUGUUGUUGGG